rnacentral:rRNA from 1 species
UACGUAGGGGGCAAGCGUUGUCCGGAAUCAUUGGGCGUAAAGAGCGCGUAGGCGGUCCGAUAAGUCGGCUGUGAAAGUCAGGGGCUCAACCCUUGGAAGCCGGCCGAUACUGUCGGACUAGAGUCCGGAAGAGGCGAGUGGAAUUCCCGGUGUAGCGGUGAAAUGCGCAGAUAUCGGGAGGAACACCAAUGGCGAAGGCAGCUCGCUGGGACGGUACUGACGCUGAGGCGCGAAAGCGUGGGGAGCAAACAGGG